rnacentral:rRNA from 1 species
UACGUAGGGAGCAAGCGUUGUCCGGAAUCAUUGGGCGUAAAGCGCGCGUAGGUGGCCCUGUAAGUCCGUUGUGAAAGUCAAAGGCUCAACCUUUGAAAGCCGAUGGAUACUGCAGGGCUAGAGUACGGAAGAGGCGAGUGGAAUUCCUGGUGUAGCGGUGGAAUGCGCAGAUAUCAGGAGGAACACCAAUAGCGAAGGCAGCUCGCUGGGACGUUACUGACACUGAGGCGCGAAAGCGUGGGGAGCGAACAGGG